UACGGGGGGGGGGCAAGCGUUUGUUCGGAAUUACUGGGCGUAAAGGGCUCGUAGGCGGCCAACUAAGUCAGACGUGAAAUCCCCAGGCUUAACCUGGGAACUGCGUCUGAUACUGGAUGGCUUGAAUUCGGGAGAGGGAUGCAGAAUUCCAGGUGUAGCGGUGAAAUGCGUAGAUAUCUGGAGGAACACCGGUGGCGAAGGCGGCAUCCUGGACCGGCAUUGACGCUGAGGCGCGAAAGCGUGGGGAGCGAACGGG
rnacentral:rRNA from 1 species